rnacentral:rRNA from 1 species
AGCGAACGCUGGCGGCAGGCUUAACACAUGCAAGUCGAGCGGGCAUCUUCGGAUGCCAGCGGCAGACGGGUGAGUAACACGUGGGAACGUACCCUUCGGUUCGGAACAACUCUGGGAAACUGGAGCUAAUACCGGAUACGCCCUUAUGGGGAAAGGUUUACUGCCGAAGGAUCGGCCCGCGUCUGAUUAGCUAGUUGGUGGGGUAACGGCCUACCAAGGCGACGAUCAGUAGCUGGUCUGAGAGGAUGAUCAGCCACACUGGGACUGAGACACGGCCCAGACUCCUACGGGAGGCAGCAGUGGGGAAUAUUGGACAAUGGGCGCAAGCCUGAUCCAGCCAUGCCGCGUGAGUGAUGAAGGCCUUAGGGUUGUAAAGCUCUUUUGUCCGGGACGAUAAUGACGGUACCGGAAGAAUAAGCCCCGGCUAACUUCGUG